GGAACCGUACCCCAAACCGACACAGGUGGUCGGGUAGAGAAUACCAAGGCGCUUGAGAGAACUCGGGUGAAGGAACUAGGCAAAAUGGCACCGUAACUUCGGGAGAAGGUGCGCCGGCUAGGGUGAAGGAUUUACUCCGUAAGCUCUGGCUGGUCGAAGAUACCAGGCCGCUGCGACUGUUUAUUAAAAACACAGCACUCUGCAAACACGAAAGUGGACGUAUAGGGUGUGACGCCUGCCCGGUGCCGGAAGGUUAAUUGAUGGGGUUAGCGCAAGCGAAGCUCUUGAUCGAAGCCCCGGUAAACGGCGGCCGUAACUAUAACGGUCCUAAGGUAGCGAAAUUCCUUGUCGGGUAAGUUCCGACCUGCACGAAUGGCGUAACGAUGGCGGCGCUGUCUCCACCCGAGACUCAGUGAAAUUGAAAUCGCUGUGAAGAUGCAGUGUAUCCGCGGCUAGACGGAAAGACCCCGUGAACCUUUACUGUAGCUUUGCACUGGACUUUGAGCCUGCUUGUGUAGGAUAGGUGGGAGGCUUUGAAGCGUGGACGCCAGUUCGCGUGGAGCCAUCCUUGAAAUACCACCCUGGCAUGCUUGAGGUUCUAACUCUGGUCCGUAAUCCGGAUCGAGGACAGUGUAUGGUGGGCAGUUUGACUGGGGCGGUCUCCUCCUAAAGAGUAACGGAGGAGUACGAAGGUGCGCUCAGACCGGUCGGAAAUCGGUCGCAGAGUAUAAAGGCAAAAGCGCGCUUGACUGCGAGACAGACACGUCGAGCAGGUACGAAAGUAGGUCUUAGUGAUCCGGUGGUUCUGUAUGGAAGGGCCAUCGCUCAACGGAUAAAAGGUACUCCGGGGAUAACAGGCUGAUACCGCCCAAGAGUUCAUAUCGACGGCGGUGUUUGGCACCUCGAUGUCGGCUCAUCACAUCCUGGGGCUGAAGCCGGUCCCAAGGGUAUGGCUGUUCGCCAUUUAAAGUGGUACGCGAGCUGGGUUUAGAACGUCGUGAGACAGUUCGGUCCCUAUCUGCCGUGGACGUUUGAGAUUUGAGAGGGGCUGCUCCUAGUACGAGAGGACCGGAGUGGACGAACCUCUGGUGUUCCGGUUGUCACGCCAGUGGCAUUGCCGGGUAGCUAUGUUCGGAAAAGAUAACCGCUGAAAGCAUCUAAGCGGGAAACUUGCCUCAAGAUGAGAUCUCACUGGGAACUUGAUUCCCCUGAAGGGCCGUCGAAGACUACGACGUUGAUAGGCUGGGUGUGUAAGCGUUGUGAGGCGUUGAGCUAACCAGUACUAAUUGCCC
rnacentral:rRNA from 1 species